UGGCUCAGAUUGAACGCUGGCGGCAGGCCUAACACAUGCAAGUCGAGCGGAUGACGGGAGCUUGCUCCUUGAUUCAGCGGCGGACGGGUGAGUAAUGCCUAGGAAUCUGCCUGGUAGUGGGGGACAACGUUUCGAAAGGAACGCUAAUACCGCAUACGUCCUACGGGAGAAAGCAGGGGACCUUCGGGCCUUGCGCUAUCAGAUGAGCCUAGGUCGGAUUAGCUAGUUGGUGGGGUAAUGGCUCACCAAGGCGACGAUCCGUAACUGGUCUGAGAGGAUGAUCAGUCACACUGGAACUGAGACACGGUCCAGACUCCUACGGGAGGCAGCAGUGGGGAAUAUUGGACAAUGGGCGAAAGCCUGAUCCAGCCAUGCCGCGUGUGUGAAGAAGGUCUUCGGAUUGUAAAGCACUUUAAGUUGGGAGGAAGGGCAGUAAGYUAAUACCUUGCUGUUUUGACGUUACCGACAGAAUAAGCACCGGCUAACUCUGUGCCAGCAGCCGCGGUAAUACAGAGGGUGCAAGCGUUAAUCGGAAUUACUGGGCGUAAAGCGCGCGUAGGUGGUUUGUUAAGUUGGAUGUGAAAGCCCCGGGCUCAACCUGGGAACUGCAUCCAAAACUGGCAAGCUAGAGUACGGUAGAGGGUGGUGGAAUUUCCUGUGUAGCGGUGAAAUGCGUAGAUAUAGGAAGGAACACCAGUGGCGAAGGCGACCACCUGGACUGAUACUGACACU
rnacentral:rRNA from 1 species